rnacentral:rRNA from 1 species
UAAACGACUCUCGGCAACGGAUAUCUCGGCUCACGCAUCGAUGAAGAACGUAGCAAAAUGCGAUACUUGGUGUGAAUUGCAGAAUCCCGUGAACCAUCGAGUUUUUAAACGCAAGUUGCGCCCGAAGCCUUCUGGUUGAGGGCACGUCUGCCUGGGCGUCACGC